UACGUAGGGUGCAAGCGUUGUCCGGAAUUAUUGGGCGUAAAGCGCUCGUAGGCGGUCUGUCGCGUCGGCUGUGAAAACUCGGGGCUCAACCCCGAGCCUGCAGUCGAUACGGGCAGACUAGAGUGCUGUAGGGGAGACUGGAAUUCCUGGUGUAGCGGUGAAAUGCGCAGAUAUCAGGAGGAACACCGGUGGCGAAGGCGGGUCUCUGGGCAGUAACUGACGCUGAGGAGCGAAAGCGUGGGGAGCGAACAGG
rnacentral:rRNA from 1 species